AGCCCGAGCAGGGGCCCUCCCACAGCGGCUAGCACAACAGUUCCUGCCAUGGAUAGCCCGAAGACCGCCAGGGGUAUCAGGAAGAAGCUGAAGAGCAGAUUAUUACUCAUCAAAACCAAGUGACUGAAACACAUCAAGGGCAGUAGUACCUGCCCAACUGCCCUCCCCUCCAAUCCCAGUUCCCCCUCACCAGCAUUGAUGACCUUUCGAAUGACCUGGGCAAUCUGACCCUGA